GAAAUAAGAUUUUAAUUGAAUGCUAAGAGAAUGGAAUUUCAGAAAAAAACUUUUUUCAAGUUAAAAAUUGAAAUUUUUUUAAUUUGUGCAGAAACAAUUAUUAAUAUUAAGGACAAGAAGACCCUAUGAAUUUAUAAAUUUUAUUUAAUAUGUAACUACUAUUGAAAAAAUUUUAGCUGGGGCGGCGGAAAAAUAUUUAAAACUUUUUUAAAAUAAAAUGACCCAUUAUUAAUGAUUAUAUGUUAAAUACUCUAGGGAUAACAGCGUUAUAUUUUUUGAUAGAUCAUAUUGACAAAAAAGUUUGCGACCUCGAUGUUGGAUUAGGAUACUUUUUUAAUGCAGAUAUUAAAAAAAGAAGUUUGUUCAACUUUUAAUUUCCUACUUGAUCUGA
rnacentral:rRNA from 1 species